AGUCGAGGGGCAGCAUGGUCUUAGCUUGCUAAGGCCGAUGGCGACCGGCGCACGGGUGAGUAACACGUAUCCAACCUGCCGUCUACUCUUGGACAGCCUUCUGAAAGGAAGAUUAAUACAAGAUGGCAUCAUGAGUCCGCAUGUUCACAUGAUUAAAGGUAUUCCGGUAGACGAUGGGGAUGCGUUCCAUUAGAUAGUAGGCGGGGUAACGGCCCACCUAGUCUUCGAUGGAUAGGGGUUCUGAGAGGAAGGUCCCCCACAUUGGAACUGAGACACGGUCCAAACUCCUACGGGAGGCAGCAGUGAGGAAUAUUGGUCAAUGGGCGAGAGCCUGAACCAGCCAAGUAGCGUGAAGGAUGACUGCCCUAUGGGUUGUAAACUUCUUUUAUAAAGGAAUAAAGUCGGGUAUGGAUACCCGUUUGCAUGUACUUUAUGAAUAAGGAUCGGCUAACUCCGUGCCAGCAGCCGCGGUAAUACGGAGGAUCCGAGCGUUAUCCGGAUUUAUUGGGUUUAAAGGGAGCGUAGAUGGAUGUUUAAGUCAGUUGUGAAAGUUUGCGGCUCAACCGUAAAAUUGCAGUUGAUACUGGAUAUCUUGAGUGCAGUUGAGGCAGGCGGAAUUCGUGGUGUAGCGGUGAAAUGCUUAGAUAUCACGAAGAACUCCGAUUGCGAAGGCAGCCUGCUAAGCUGCAACUGACAUUGAGGCUCGAAAGUGUGGGUAUCAAACAGGAUUAGAUACCCUGGUAGUCCACACGGUAAACGAUGAAUACUCGCU
rnacentral:rRNA from 1 species